CGCUUUUCGUUGAAGUAAAAUGAAAAGUAGAGCCUGCCCAGUGAAGUAAAUUUAAACGGCCGCAGUACCCUGACUGUGCGAAGGUAGCAUAAUCAUUUGCUCUUUAAUUGGGAGCUGGAAUGAAUGGUUUGACGAGGGCUUAACUGUCUUAGAUUAAUUUGUUAGAAAUUGACUUUUAGGUGAAGAGGCCUAAAUUAGGCUAUAGGACAAGAAGACCCUAUUGAGCUUUAGUUUUUUACUUAAAUAAAAGUAUAUAGAUAGAGUUUAAUUAAGUAAUAGAUUUUGAUUGGGGCGAUCAAGGAAAAAGGUAAUCUUCCUUUAAUGUUAUAUAAGUUAUAUGAAUUGGUGAUCCAGGACUAUUCUGAUUAUAAGAAGAAGUUACCAUAGGGAUAACAGCGUAAUCUUUUUUGAGAGUUCUUAUCGAAAAAGAGGGUUGCGACCUCGAUGUUGGACUAAGGUGUCCUGAAGGUGUAGCAGCUUUCGAGGGUUGGUCUGUUCGACCAUUAAAACCUUACA
rnacentral:rRNA from 1 species